rnacentral:tRNA from 2 species
GGGCCCAUAGCUCAGUUGGCAGAGCCCCCGGCUCAUAACCGGAUGGUCCGAGGUUCGAAUCCUCGUGGGCCCACCA